CCUUUUGAUGAUAUAAUUUGCGAUCGACUUCCCGCAGUGGCACCCACGCCUGGGCUGCUAUACUGCGUGAGAGGAUGAAAAAUAUUCUUACAUAUCCUGAAU
rfam:Blumeria graminis f. sp. tritici 96224 unplaced genomic scaffold Scaffold-464, whole genome shotgun sequence.